rnacentral:lncRNA from 1 species
AUACUAUCAAAUCAGGAUUUUAGUAAAAUUAUGAUUUUGCCCCUGAAGAGCAUAAAGACUUUUUCAAUUUAAAAUAUUUGUAUCCCUUCAAUCUGCUUUGUAAUCAUCAAAAUCAAUCUAGGAGCAACAGUCAGUAUGAUUGAAUCUUAUUUUGAUAUCAUCAAGAUACAUCGAGCAGAAUGUGACACACUCCGUAGUUACGUAUGCUUCCACUAU